GCCCCGAUAGCUCAGUAGGCAGAGCGUCUCCAUGGUAAGGAGAAGGUCCAGGGUUCAAAUCCCUGUCGGGGCUCCA
rnacentral:tRNA from 1 species